rfam:Felis catus isolate Cinnamon breed Abyssinian chromosome C2, whole genome shotgun sequence.
GCCUGGGUGGCUCAGUCGGUUAAGCGUCUGACUUCAGCUCAGGUCACGAUCUCGCGGUCCGUGAGUUCGAGCCCCGCGUCAGGCU